rnacentral:lncRNA from 1 species
AGCAGAGUUCAAAACGGGAGCACUCUGUUGUAUUGUGGCCUCGAGGCCACUGGUAACAACCAAAUCACCACCCCGCAGCGGCAGAGAUGUUCUUCCAUCGCGUCAAGAUGAAGCACUGCAAUGGCGAACUAAUCUCAGCUUCUUACCUGCUGUAAAUACUGGAGAUGGUUUGGAUCAGGAUACGAGCGAUGAUGAGAGUCACAGGUUUGGACUGUACUCGAGCACAAGUAGACAAAGUGAAACUUUGGAAUCCUGUUUUCAGCAAUCGCCAAGAUGGGCUUCGACCUCGUCUGCUUCUGGUGGGAUUGAACAGGACACUGUACCAAUAACAAAUAACUCAAAGCCGCAAUGCUUGGAUGAGGUAAGUUGAUCUUCUUACAAUCUUCAAGAUGAGCUUUUCAUGAUAGAUGAACCAUGUACCUCGCUGAUGUACUUGUAUUACAGGAGAAAAGUAUUGAUAGAGAAAGUACAGCGAGUUUCAGCUCGUUGCUGACUCUAUCAGAACCAACAACUGCCUCACGAAUAGCUCCAAGCAAGCAACCUUUAAGCCUUGCUCACUGUUCUUAUCCUCGAGUCUUCUGCAACCCGGUUUCAGAUUGUGAGAAUCAUGAACUUCAUCAUCCCCAAGAAGACGCAUUCACAGAUCCUGUUUCCAGUUUCAUGAUGUCUACAAUAAACCACCAAGGCUCACAAGUAGAGAAAGCAUCAUCAAACUCUAGUAACAGCACGAGUAGCAAUGACAACACGCUGCUAGAUGUGGAAAGAUCCAACGAAACACAGGCAGCAAACCAGAGACUUGAACCAGGUUCAACGACACAAGCCACACAACAUAGAUGCGGGGUUUGCAAAAAGCUCCUAUCUCAGAAAUCACCAUGGUGCUCUCAUAAGAUACUGAGAAGUGGAGACAUGCCAGCUGCUGGUGUUUUCCCCUGCCACCACGUCUACCAUGUCGAAUGUUUAGACAAAGUGACCCCAACUUCUCAAACCCGAGAUCCGUCUUGUCCUGCUUGCUCACAUACCAUCGGAGCAUUCGAGCAUGAACUGAUGAUAGCGCCUGAGACGCUGCAACAGGCUCUAAGAUCUCUAAGAAGAAGCCACACAGCUACGGGUUCAGAGCUGCUUAGUACCGACAAUCAAACAAGACAGAUUAGAAGACGACAUAAAUGGGAAAAACUAAGCUGCUGUUUGAAUAUAAGCUUCCUAUCUUCUUCCUAAAAUCCAACAUGACCUUAUACUAUAUUUAGGUUCCUCUAUAACUCAUACCUGGAUCUAGCUCAUAAGUGUAACCAUAUGUUUACUACCUACAUUGAUUUACUAUGCCAUUGUAACAGCAAAUAAGGAUGAAUAUUUACUUGUAGACCAAAAGAAACUCUAUUCAAGACAGUUUGUAAGACAAAAAAAAAAACCCUUUCAGUCAAAAUUUGUCGAGAAUUGGAAUCAAAAACAAAAACCUAAAAAAGAAUCAAAAUCAAAAAAUUUAAAACUUAAAUAUAUUUGUUGGGGGGGAGUUAAAGCUCGCAAAAGCCAUCCCUGCGCCAAGUAAAUCGUACGCUCAGGCAGCAAGCAGUCUUCAUCGCUGAAAACAAAGGGAUUAUAUAAAAGAUAAGGUAUUGAAGCCUUCCCGUCACCAGAGCCGCCGGCCAUAGCUUCCAAACGAAUGGACAUGGGGUUGCUCGUGAUGAUCGGAGAAGGUCAAAAAACCUAAUCCUUGAGCCCUUUUUCUCAACUCAGAUAAGAUCAAGUAGUUUAGAAGCUCAGAGUUGGUUACUUGCUCCAUAUUUAUACUAGUCUUUGGUCAAAGCCCUAACCCUAGUCUCCUAAAUUUUUCCGCCUCCAAUUGGGAAUUUCCAAGACUACCCUCGUGUAAAGAGAUAUAUUAACAUAACAGAUCCAAAAUUAUUAUAAUAUUCUUAAGAAACCCCUUAUCUCCUGAAAGAGCACAAAUGAUCCUAAAUUGAGCUUUCUUUAUACGAGUGAUAAGAAUGAUCCAUGGACAGAGAGAAUAGACUCUGAAACACCAAACAAUAAAAAGCCCUUGGCACAACUUAAGCUUUCUUUAGAACUACAGAGUUUUAAGUAGAAGUAUUUACACCAAGAACCAGAAAAGAAAAUGAACAAAAGGGAAAGCUAUGCUGUGUGUUUUACAGAGGAGUUGUUGUAGACUUUUGCAUUUUGUUCUUCUCUUGUGCCUUUGGUGGCUGAGACGAACGGACUGCUGCUUGAUAUGAAGAGGAAGCAAGCUGCGCCAGUGCUGGUACGGUGCCACCUGCAAACAUUAAAGACCAGGUUCAUUCUUGCCAUAGUCAAUAAGUGACCAAGAGAUCAAAAAAGGAACUUAUGUUCCACAACAGUAAGAAAGUAGUGGAGGAUGAGGAGGGGGGAAGAAGAUCCCAAACCUGCUAGUCCAGCACAGGCCGAUGAAACAACUAUAACAGGCGGUGCCUGCAUUGACACAGAAAUGAAAAUUCAAUUGCUUCAUCAGUAUGGAAAAGGGUUAAGCAAUUCACUGGUCUUUUCCCCAGAAAAAUUAUGAAUUGAAAUGGAACAAAAUGAAACAAAGCAUGAUGAAAAGAAGAAGAGAACUCUGCAUCUUUUGUAAAUAACUUACCCCAACAAGAAAGUGUAACCACAUGGGUCCUUUUACCCACUUGCGUACAAUUGGCAUCACUGCGUCAAUCAAAAAAAGCCAAACAGACUCGGACUCUUUUAAGCAAAGCUUUAAAUCUAACUUGUAUCAGUGUAGACUAAAACCAACACAAAACUAGAUUACAAAUACAGAUACAAUUAAGAUAUCCGGAUCCGGAUCCGGCUUUGACGGAUCCAACAUUUUACUAUCCGGAUCCGGAUUCGGCCCCUCCGGAUAUCCGGAUUUUCGGAUCGGAUCCGGAUCGAAUCUCGGAUCGAAUCCGGAUCUCGGAUAAAAGUUCCAGGCCUAAUAUAUACUACACUGAAAUACGGUGACUGUACUGAAUAUCUGAUGUGGUUCUAUAUUUAUGUUUUUAUUAUUGCGUUCGGGUCUGGAAAUUAAAUAUAAAGGUUGCAUAUAUGCAAAUAUACAUAUAUAUAUAUAUAUAUUUGAGCAUAAUGUUUAUUUACAUUUAACUAGUGUUUUAUUCGAUUGGGCGCCACUGUAACUAGCAAACACUUCAACUUGUCAAUGAUAAAAUAAAUUACUCCUAGUAACAUAAAUGAGUGUCAUUUUUUAAAUUAAUACUGCAUAGUUAAAAGUUACUCCCUCCGUUUCUACAUGAUCCAUGUUUAAGAAAAAUAUUUUGUUUCUAAAAGAUCAAUAUUUUACAUUUUCAAUGUAUGUUAUAAUGUCAAAUUGUAAACUUCAAAAACAUUAAUUGUGUUUACUGAAUUUUGAUUAGUUUAAAGUCAUUGGAAAUAACUAAACACGGAAAGUAAUACAUUUAUUAUCAAAAAUUUACGUGUUUUCUUAAUAACUGUGAAAACUCUAAAACAUGGAUCAUUCCGAAAUGGAGAGAGUAGUAUUUAAUUAGUUUUUAUUGAUAAAUUUAAAUAGAUAGGUCGAAGGAAUAUUAUUAUUAAAACCUUUUUUUGUUGGUUACAAGAUUAUGCAUGUACACACAUUUUAUAUUGUCUUUUUGUUGUUUUUGAAGAAUGAAGAACCUUGAGUUCUGUGAAGUGUUAACUAUUUAUUGAUAUACAAUACUCCCUCAGUUUUUUUAUAUAAGUCGUUUUAGAGAAAUUUUUAUGUUCCAAAUUAUAUGACGUUUUCGGUUUUCUGUGUAAAAUUUAUUAACACUUAAUGUUGUUUGACCAAUGAUAAUAUACCUUCUAUUUUAUUAUUGGUUGAUUUGUGGUUAGGUAAAUAAUUAAUGAUGUUUUUGUUUAGAAAAUAUAAAAAAUUAAUGAUUUCUUAAUCUACGUGCAUAAUUCUAAAACGACUUAUAUUAAAGAACGGAGGGAGUAAUACUUAAUACUAAUCGGCCCAAUAAUUUUUUUUUGCUUCUGGCCCCUAGAUUCCUAGGACCGGCUCUGUAUAUAACGACAAAGAAUUCAUUUUAAUUUUAAAAUUAAAAAGCAUGAACAUAUAUCUACUGUAUAAACAUAAUGCCAUGCAGCUAAUACAUUUUUCUUCUUCAAAUUCCCUUGACUUAUAGAUUCGUCUUAGUUCUUAUCCUUAAUAUUUUCUCUAUGCCCUUAUAUUACCAUAAUUUUCUAAAAUGAUGCAAACGUUCAAGUGUAGAUAAUUAUAUAAGCGACUUAAAAAGACAAAAAACUCUUAACCGUACAUAAAUAAAUGAUGUAUCGGGUUCAAUGUACUCUGCUUGUUUAGAAAUAAGCGUGUGAGUCUCUUCCACCUCAAAUUCAGGACAUAAAUCUCAUUAAUUAUGUGUUGAAUCAUGGACAUGAAUAUAAUGGUAAUUUUUUUGGCUUACAACAAUUGUAGAAAGCGAUUUUACUAAUUAAAAAAAAUUGUAAAAAGAAAAUGCAGGAAUAUGAGCAUUAUUUUAAUGCGCAUAAUAACAGGACUUUCCAUUUAAAGCGAAGCUUUUAGAUCGAUACUUGCAGCAAAGCUAACCGUUCUUUCCCGUUUUUCGGUUUCUAGAUGAUGAUCUCUAUUGCCUCUUUUAUACUGUCUCUUUCUUCCAUCCUUUUCUUUCAGUUCAUCAUGUUAUAUACACCAAACCAUAUUCUAUAAAUAUAAUCAUUUAUCGCCCAUAAGACAUAUACAUUGAAUGAUUUUUUUUUAAACACAUAUACAUUGAAUGAUUAUAUUUUGUCAUGGACAACUUAAUUUUGAUCAAUUAUUGUACUUUAUCAUUUUGUAUUGAAUUUUCUGUCAUCACCUAAAAUUGAAAUGAUACUGUAGAAAACAAGUGUGAAUUUAUAACAAAUGUAAAGUUUUUUGUUACAUAGUUUUCAAAACUUUCACAUUGAUGAGAAACUAUGCGGCACAUUAUACAAUUUAAUUAAAACACUUUUUAGGUUAGAGUUAUAGUAAAUAAAGUAGUUUUAUACUCCAUCCGUUCCCGAAAGUAAGAUUUUCUAAAGUAUACACGCUUAAUAAGAAUUUAAUAAAUGUUUAUAAUUUAAUUUAUUUUUUACUUUUUAAUACACUUUCCAAUAACUUUCUACCAAUGAAAUUUAAUCAAUUCAAAUAUUCUCAAUUAAUAUUUUUCAAAAAUAUAAAAAGUGUAUUUUAACAAUAUAGAAAAUCUAUCUUUGUGGAAUAAGAAAAUAUUUAAAAAAUUUUACUUUCGGGAAUGAAAAGAGUAUAUACGUACAAUGUAAAAGUUGACGUUCCAACUAAUACCACUUUUCUUUUUAACUUAAAGAUAUCACGAAUCUAUGAAAUGGUCUAAACUAAUUUUUAAACGGAACUGCAUUUCGCAGAUAAAUCCUUUUGGAUAUUCAGAUGGAUCGUAGAUGGACACAUUGAAGUGUAGUGGGAUGAUCCAACUAGCAUUGUUAGAACCAGUCUUCUUCUUCUUAAAAGAAAACAGUCCAAUUAUGUUGAAUUUUGUAUAAAUUAAAAAAUUAUUUUAGUAGUUAAAAUAUGUUUAAUAGUUGCGCUUAUGCAUAAAUCUAUAUUUGAGAUAUUGAAAUAUGAAUUAGCCGAAACCCUAUUAGGGUUUACUGGAGAAAGAAAUUUGACGGUCACAUGCGUUAGCCAAUGACUCUGCACCGUACACCUUCGCCUGUCUUGCGUAACCCAAACAAAACAUAGUACCAUUUCGAAAUGUUUUUGCUUAACCGGUUGCAGUUUCUCACAAAAAGUGUUUCUUUUACAGCUGAUUUGUUAUCAGUAAGAAGAUCCAAUUCUCAAUUUCAAAAGUUUGCAUGAUUUUGAUGUAAAAAGCAAUUAAGCGAUUAAAUUAAACAUUUCAUUAUUGUUACUAAGAGCGGAUCAGAUUAGACAGUAGAUAGCUAUACCAUGAGCCAUGGGUUUGACAAAAGGAAACAUAGCACUAAAUAUUGGGCUAAUGUAAAGAUCAUGGGCUUAGUUCAUUCAUAUUUUCAAUUUGUUGGGGAUGAGUAUUGUGUGUUAAUUAGGACAUAAAUCUCAUGGGCUGGACAUAAAUUGCUAGUUAUGGUCCUUAACGCCUUAUCGACUGGACUUUAAAACAAAAUCAAAUGAAAUAUUUUGAAGACCGAGGACUGAGUUUGACAAUACGAUAACAACAUUACAAAACACAAUUAAUUAUUCCGUUAAUUAAGAUAGAAAGUUGAUUUGUCUAAAAUAAAAGAUAGAAAGUUGAUUAUGAUAGGUCGAUAUUUGAGUGAAACACCUUUAUUCGACAACCACUAGUUGGUCUUGGUAUAAGGAUUAGCUGAGACUAUGAUUAACAGGUAAACAGGUUAACCCAUCGUAAACAAGGAUGGUGACAGAAAAUAAGGAAAAUGGCAUGAAAAUGGAAAAUGAUAGCUAUAUAAAUCGAAAUAACUUUUGAUAAAUAUAUCAUGUCAAUAUAGUCAUACAUGCCAUAACCAUAUUUGAUAAACCAAUAAUGAUUAUUCCUAUGUUAGGAAGAAAAAAACAAGAAAAAUCAAUGAGUGGGGGUUGAACAAAUACUAAUUAAAUAACAAAAAGAAGAUGAAUGAGAUAAUAAUUAACAAAACGACUAAGGGAGUGAUUAAUUAAUAAUUACCCAAUCUUCUCUCUCUCUCAUUCAAUAACUCCUCAGAGUAGUCGUUUCUCUCUCUAUUUCAAAAGAGAAGGAGCGCUCUUGCUUUCUCUCUUCUCGCCGCUUCUCCGCCAUCGAUCCUGCAAAAAAAGACUCUCUCUCUCUCUCUCUCUCCUCUUUGUCGUCGAAGUCACCAAGAUACAGUGAUCAUCAGUUUCCAGUUUGAAGGUAUAAGGAACUAUAAAUCUCUGCGCAAGUCUAAUCUUGGCUAUCACCGACACCUGAUCUUGCUUUUUCUCUAACACUCAAAUGAAUUUAACUUUACUAUGCUUGAUCUCGUUUGACUUGUGAUGCUUAAACAAUGUUUUUAGCUUCUGUUAGUUUAAAUUCCUGCUGGUUCUCCAGUCAUUGUAUGAGCUCAGAAACAGCUGUUACGAGCAGUGUACCUGUCUUAAUUUCGGUUCUUAUCCUCUAAACCAAACGGUAUAGUUUGUUGAUUCCAUUUUGCUACUGGUGUUUCGACAAGAGAUUAGUUUUCAUUCAAGAGUUAUUUAUUUUAACCACAAGCUAUAGGGGAUUUACCUAUGUAUAAAAGCAAAUAAUUUCAUUUAUAAUAUAAAGUAAGAUUACAGUGUGUACAAGUUCCUAAAGGCCCUCGGGUUUUAUUCCUGAUGUAGAAGUCUCACUGCAACGUUUGGAGCUGAAGGCGGUGAGAGUAAAGCAGAGUUCAAAACGGGAGCACUCUGUUGUAUUGUGGCCUCGAGGCCACUGGUAACAACCAAAUCACCACCCCGCAGCGGCAGAGAUGUUCUUCCAUCGCGUCAAGAUGAAGCACUGCAAUGGCGAACUAAUCUCAGCUUCUUACCUGCUGUAAAUACUGGAGAUGGUUUGGAUCAGGAUACGAGCGAUGAUGAGAGUCACAGGUUUGGACUGUACUCGAGCACAAGUAGACAAAGUGAAACUUUGGAAUCCUGUUUUCAGCAAUCGCCAAGAUGGGCUUCGACCUCGUCUGCUUCUGGUGGGAUUGAACAGGACACUGUACCAAUAACAAAUAACUCAAAGCCGCAAUGCUUGGAUGAGGUAAGUUGAUCUUCUUACAAUCUUCAAGAUGAGCUUUUCAUGAUAGAUGAACCAUGUACCUCGCUGAUGUACUUGUAUUACAGGAGAAAAGUAUUGAUAGAGAAAGUACAGCGAGUUUCAGCUCGUUGCUGACUCUAUCAGAACCAACAACUGCCUCACGAAUAGCUCCAAGCAAGCAACCUUUAAGCCUUGCUCACUGUUCUUAUCCUCGAGUCUUCUGCAACCCGGUUUCAGAUUGUGAGAAUCAUGAACUUCAUCAUCCCCAAGAAGACGCAUUCACAGAUCCUGUUUCCAGUUUCAUGAUGUCUACAAUAAACCACCAAGGCUC